rnacentral:rRNA from 1 species
CCUACGGGGAGCUGCAGUGGGGAAUAUUGGACAAUGGGCGAAAGCCUGAUCCAGCCAUGCCGCGUGUGUGAAGAAGGCCUUCGGGUUGUAAAGCACUUUCAGUGGGGAAGAAAGCCUUGGGGCUAAUACCCUCGAGGAAGGACAUCACCCACAGAAGAAGCACCGGCUAACUCCGUGCCAGCAGCCGCGGUAAUACGGAGGGUGCGAGCGUUAAUCGGAAUUACUGGGCGUAAAGCGCGCGUAGGCGGUCUGAUAAGCCGGUUGUGAAAGCCCCGGGCUCAACCUGGGAACGGCAUCCGGAACUGUCAGGCUAGAGUGCAGGAGAGGAAGGUAGAAUUCCCGGUGUAGCGGUGAAAUGCGUAGAGAUCGGGAGGAAUACCAGUGGCGAGGGCGGCCUUCUGGACUGACACUGACGCUGAGGUGCGAAAGCGUGGGUAGCAAACAGGAUUAGAUACCCUAGUAGUC